ensembl:lncRNA EPIC1 epigenetically induced MYC interacting lncRNA 1
AUUGCAAACACGAAGCUCUUCCAGAAACGCCCUCACAGACACCCCGGAAGUCACGUACCCACUCUGUAGGUGCCCCGGGGCACAGGCAAGCGGACGAGCCAGUUAUCCCUCAGAGCUCCUGCUGCCUCGCCCGCUUUCUCUCGGAAACGUGAAGUGUGGCCUCAGCUGAAAGUGAGGUGGGCCUCAUUCAAUCAGUUGAAUUCUUCAAGAGAGAAAAACUGAAGUCCCUUAGAAGGAAAGAGUUCUGCCUUCAGACUGUCUUUGAACUUAAGACUGUAGCGUCGACUCCUGCCGGAAUUUCCAGCCUGCUGGCCAGCUCUGCAGAUUCACACUUGCCAGCCUCCACAAUCGCAGCUGAGGCGGAGGAACCCUAAGGGCUCAUUGAGAUCAUGGAUUUGCCCUUCUAUGCAUUGAUGGAGCACCUGCUGCCCACAGCGUCUGUAUUUGGUGCUGGGAUGCUGAGGACACUGAGAUCUUCAAACAGAGGCUGCCACUCUAAGCAAACAGAUCCCGAGCCCUGGACUCUGAAGCUUGGGCCCAGUUCUCCUUUUCUCCGGGUUUCAGAUCCCACUGUGAAGUGAGGGGGCCCUUCUGAUUCAGGACCCGGGGAAGCCAGGGGCAUGAGCAUCGGUGCCUCUUCUCUAUUUCAAGGACCCUUCUGGGUGUAAAGUUCUCUGAGAUGCCUUACAUGGAUUCCCACCACUGCAAGAUAACCAUCGUAUGUAAAGUGUUAUGACCAGCAGAGCGUAAUUGAAGUGCAUUCCAGAGGGAAAGACAGCGGCUCAGGUGCAUUAGAUGCGGACGGAGGGGAGUUUGCCUGAUGCAGUUGAGGACCUUGCGGGGCGAUUGCACCUGUUUCCUUUUGCAGAAGACUGACUCUGAGAUGCAUCUGGUCCAGGUGUUCAGAUAAUCAUAGAGCACCAACUCUAUCUGCACCAUGGAUUUUGCAAGCUCCUGGGAAUGCAGAAGAGAACAUUACAGAUGGCUUUGCUGGCUUUGUGGGAUUCAAAAAUAGCCAUCAAAACAAGUCUGAAGCAACUCACACAACUAAUUUUAAUGGUGGCCACUGCCAGGGUAACCAGUUCAUUGAAGAAAUGACUCUCGGCAGGGAUCAGAACACAACUUACAUUCUGUAUCGCUGUGCCUUCAAUUAUUAUUAUUAUUAUUAUUUAUUAUUAGUUUCUUUUGAGACAGAGUCUUGCUCUGUCGCCCAGGCUGGAGUGCAGUGGCACGAUCUCGGCUC